GGGUUGUGAGGUUAAGCGACUAAGCGUACACGGUGGAUGCCCUGGCAGUCAGAGGCGAUGAAGGACGUGCUAAUCUGCGAAAAGCGUCGGUAAGGUGAUAUGAACCGUUAUAACCGGCGAUGUCCGAAUGGGGAAACCCAGUGCAAUUCGUUGCACUAUCGUUAACUGAAUACAUAGGUUAACGAGGCGAACCGGGGGAACUGAAACAUCUAAGUACCCCGAGGAAAAGAAAUCAACCGAGAUUCCCCCAGUAGCGGCGAGCGAACGGGGAGCAGCCCAGAGUCUGAAUCAGCUUGUGUGUUAGUGGAACGGUCUGGAAAGUCCGACGGUACAGGGUGAUAGUCCCGUACACCAAAAUGCACAGGCUGUGAACUCGAAGAGUAGGGCGGGACACGUGGUAUCCUGUCUGAAUAUGGGGGGACCAUCCUCCAAGGCUAAAUACUCCUGACUGACCGAUAGUGAACCAGUACCGUGAGGGAAAGGCGAAAAGAACCCCGGCGAGGGGAGUGAAAAAGAACCUGAAACCGUGUACGUACAAGCAGUGGGAGCACCUUCGGGUGUGACUGCGUACCUUUUGUAUAAUGGGUCAGCGACUUAUAUUCUGUAGCAAGGUUAACCGUAUAGGGGAGCCGCAGGGAAACCGAGUCUUAACUGGGCGUUAAGUUGCAGGGUAUAGACCCGAAACCCGGUGAUCUAGCCAUGGGCAGGUUGAAGGUUGGGUAACACUAACUGGAGGACCGAACCGACUAAUGUUGAAAAAUUAGCGGAUGACUUGUGGCUGGGGGUGAAAGGCCAAUCAAACCGGGAGAUAGCUGGUUCUCCCCGAAAGCUAUUUAGGUAGCGCCUCGUGAAUUCAUCUUCGGGGGUAGAGCACUGUUUCGGCUAGGGGGUCAUCCCGACUUACCAACCCGAUGCAAACUACGAAUACCGAAGAAUGUUAUCACGGGAGACACACGGCGGGUGCUAACGUCCGUCGUGAAGAGGGAAACAACCCAGACCGCCAGCUAAGGUCCCAAAGUCAUGGUUAAGUGGGAAACGAUGUGGGAAGGCACAGACAGCCAGGAUGUUGGCUUAGAAGCAGCCAUCAUUUAAAGAAAGCGUAAUAGCUCACUGGUCGAGUCGGCCUGCGCGGAAGAUGUAACGGGGCUAAACCAUGCACCGAAGCUGCGGCAGCGACACUAUGUGUUGUUGGGUAGGGGAGCGUUCUGUAAGCCUGCGAAGGUGUGCUGUGAGGCAUGCUGGAGGUAUCAGAAGUGCGAAUGCUGACAUAAGUAACGAUAAAGCGGGUGAAAAGCCCGCUCGCCGGAAGACCAAGGGUUCCUGUCCAACGUUAAUCGGGGCAGGGUGAGUCGACCCCUAAGGCGAGGCCGAAAGGCGUAGUCGAUGGGAAACAGGUUAAUAUUCCUGUACUUGGUGUUACUGCGAAGGGGGGACGGAGAAGGCUAUGUUAGCCGGGCGACGGUUGUCCCGGUUUAAGCAUGUAGGCUGGUUGUCCAGGCAAAUCCGGAUAAUCAAGGCUGAGGUGUGAUGACGAGGCACUACGGUGCUGAAGUAACAAAUGCCCUGCUUCCAGGAAAAGCCUCUAAGCAUCAGGUAACAUCAAAUCGUACCCCAAACCGACACAGGUGGUCAGGUAGAGAAUACCAAGGCGCUUGAGAGAACUCGGGUGAAGGAACUAGGCAAAAUGGUGCCGUAACUUCGGGAGAAGGCACGCUGGUGUGUAGGUGAAGUCCCUGCGGAUGGAGCUGAGACCAGUCGAAGAUACCAGCUGGCUGCAACUGUUUAUUAAAAACACAGCACUGUGCAAACACGAAAGUGGACGUAUACGGUGUGACGCCUGCCCGGUGCCGGAAGGUUAAUUGAUGGGGUUAUCCGUAAGGAGAAGCUCUUGAUCGAAGCCCCGGUAAACGGCGGCCGUAACUAUAACGGUCCUAAGGUAGCGAAAUUCCUUGUCGGGUAAGUUCCGACCUGCACGAAUGGCGUAAUGAUGGCCAGGCUGUCUCCACCCGAGACUCAGUGAAAUUGAACUCGCUGUGAAGAUGCAGUGUACCCGCGGCAAGACGGAAAGACCCCGUGAACCUUUACUAUAGCUUGACACUGAACAUUGAGCCUUGAUGUGUAGGAUAGGUGGGAGGCUUUGAAGCGUGGACGCCAGUCUGCGUGGAGCCAACCUUGAAAUACCACCCUUUAAUGUUUGAUGUUCUAACGUUGGCCCCUGACCGGGGUUGCGGACAGUGUCUGGUGGGUAGUUUGACUGGGGCGGUCUCCUCCCAAAGCGUAACGGAGGAGCACGAAGGUUAGCUAAUCCUGGUCGGACAUCAGGAGGUUAGUGCAAUGGCAUAAGCUAGCUUGACUGCGAGCGUGACGGCGCGAGCAGGUGCGAAAGCAGGUCAUAGUGAUCCGGUGGUUCUGAAUGGAAGGGCCAUCGCUCAACGGAUAAAAGGUACUCCGGGGAUAACAGGCUGAUACCGCCCAAGAGUUCAUAUCGACGGCGGUGUUUGGCACCUCGAUGUCGGCUCAUCACAUCCUGGGGCUGAAGUAGGUCCCAAGGGUAUGGCUGUUCGCCAUUUAAAGUGGUACGCGAGCUGGGUUUAGAACGUCGUGAGACAGUUCGGUCCCUAUCUGCCGUGGGCGCUGGAGAAUUGAGGGGGGCUGCUCCUAGUACGAGAGGACCGGAGUGGACGCAUCACUGGUGUUCGGGUUGUCAUGCCAAUGGCACUGCCCGGUAGCUAAAUGCGGAAGAGAUAAGUGCUGAAAGCAUCUAAGCACGAAACUUGCCCCGAGAUGAGUUCUCCCUGAGACUUUAAGUCUCCUGAAGGAACGUUGAAGACGACGACGUUGAUAGGCCGGGUGUGUAAGCGCAGCGAUGCGUUGAGCUAACCGGUACUAAUGAACCGUGAGGCUUAACCUUACAACGCCGAAG
rnacentral:rRNA from 2 species